rnacentral:lncRNA from 1 species
UUCAUAUGUCUAAACAUAUGAAAAAUAUCAGUGUGAGCAAAAAAAAAAACAAUAAAUGUAUUGAGUUAAACCACAAUUCACAGAAUACCAGAAAUUCUGGAAACACUGCCCAAAACUCAGAAUACAGAUCAAAAAAUGAUCAAAUGAAUCCAGGACAGUAUGAAUUAUAUGAUUCACUAAUUCAUACACCUAGUCAUGAUUCUGUUGAGUUAAAUCAUAACUCACAAAAUAUCAAAAAUUCUGAAUAUAAUAAAAAAAAUUCAGUAAAUGUUCAGAAUGAUCAAACUUCCCUCUAUUCUGAAAAUGUUCAGAAUGAUGACAUAAGAUCAUCAGAUAUAGGACUAAUUCAUACACCUAGUCAUGAUUCUGUUGAGUUAAAUCAUAACUCACAAAACAUCAAAAAUUC